UCGAGAUUUGGAUCUGUUCUGCACCCAGUGUGACGCAAUGCUCUGUAUUAGUAGGUGAAGGGACUCUGCCCUCACACAGAUACACAGGAGAAGAAUGCCAGGAGAGAGGAGAGAUUAGGGGCCACGAAGACUAUCUGAGGGAACCGGAAUGCUGACUACUGAACGGAAAACCUGGAUUUUAUCACCAGUAACAGACGGUGAGCAGUUUGUGUGGGGCCCAGCAUGGAUGCGGAGGUCAGCGGAGCACUUGCAGGAAUCACUUCUCUCCUUCUGCUAUGACACUAUCUUCAUUAGCCUAUAGCUCACCGAGCAGGCUGGGCUGGCUGGUAAACUCCAAGGAUCUGCCCGUCUCUACCCCUACUGAGAUUACAAGAAUUCACUAUAACGCCUCGGUGAGAAAAAUGGGAUGGGGCCAGAGGUGGAUUCCAAAUUGAGCUUCCGAUCCUGCCCUUUCUUCUGGAAGACUAUUCAACUUCCCUCAGCACCCCACAGAAGAGGAAAUUCACAGACACAUCCUGUGAAACAGCCUAGGCAACCUCUCAAAACAUUUACACAUCAGUAUGCACUGUUCAAAAUGGAUGGAGUUGGGAUUUUGCGUCUGAUUUGGAUGCGAACUCCACUCUACUGAUGUUUGGUAAACACUCCAAAAGGACAAAGUGUUUAGAGAUUUAAAAUGUAUUUAGAUCCUGAUUUUUAAUAACUGCACCUGCCUGCUGGCCAUCAGCACUUUUUAAUACAGGAUUCAUGGAGUUUUUGCCAAGGAAGGUUGCUCACAUCCUUGGUUUCAGUUCAAAACUUUGAGAGUGCACAAGCUCUGUUUCCUUAGCUGGCAUAAUCAGACUACAUGCCUUUACAAUGUUCUUUUUUGGCUACUAGAGCUUAACCAUUCUUAACUGAAGGAAGGUCACCUUUGAAAAAGUGAAGAAGCUAUGAAAAGGAGAUAAUUCAAACAGAAGCAGAUGAAAUGCUGGAGUUGCUUUAAUCUAUUUUUAAAUGGUUGUCAGAUGCCUGUAACUGACACCCUUAAUUGGAAGUUCUAAAGUUUAAA